rnacentral:lncRNA from 1 species
CGAAAGAACUUAGAGCUAAUACGCAAAGUCGGGGAUCAUAAAAAUGGACCGAAAGAACUUAUAGCUAAUACGCAAAGUCGGGGAUCAUAAGAAUGGACCGAAAGAACUUAGAGCUAAUACGUAAAGUCGGGGAUCAUAAAAACGGACCGAAAGAACUUAGAGCUAAUACGCAAAGUCCGGGAUCAUAAAAAUGGAAGGAAAGAACUUAGAGCUAAUAUGUAAAGUUGGGGAUCAUAAAAACGGACCGAAAGAACUUAGAGCUAAUACGCAAAGUCGGGGAUCAUAAAAAUGGAUCGAAAGAACUUAGAGCUAAUACGCAAAGUCGGGGAUCAUAAAAACGGACCGAAAGACCUUAGAGCUAAUACGUAAAGUCGGGGAUCAUAAAAAGGACCAAUACAACUUAGAGCUAAUACGCAAAGUCUGGGAUCAUAAAAACGGACCGAAAGAACUUAAAGCUAAUACGCAAAGUCAGGGAUAAUAAAAACGACAGAAAGAACUUAGAGCUAAUACGCAAAGUCGGGGAUCAUAAAAACGGACCGAAAGAACUCAGAGCUAAUACGCAAAGUCGGGGAUCAUAAAAACGUACCGAAAGAACUUAGAGCUAAUACGAAAAGUCGGGGAUCAUAAAAACGGCCCGAAAGAACUUACAGCUAAUACUCAAACUCGGGGAUCAUAAAAACAGACCGAAAGAACUUAGAGCUAAUACGCAAAGUGGGGGAUCAUAAAAACGGACCCAAAGAACUUAGUGCUAAUACGCAAAGUCGGGGAUCAUAAAAAAGGACCAAAAGAACUUAGAGCUAAUACGUAAAGUCGGGUAUCAUACAAAGGACCAAUAGAACUUAGAGCUAAUAUGAAAAGUUGGGGAUCAUAAAACGACCGAAAGAACUUAAAGCUAAUACGCAAAGUCGGGGAUCAUAAAAACAGACGUGGAAUUUAGAGCUAAUAUUCAAAGUCGUGGAUCAUAAAAACAGACCGAAAGAACUUAGAACUAAUACGUAAAGUCGGGGAUCAUAAAAAUGGACCGAAAGAACUUAGAGCUAAUACGCAAAGUCCGGGAUCAUAAAAACGGACCAAAAGAACUUGGAGCUAAUACGUAAAGUCGGGGAUCAUAAAAGCGGACCGAAAGAAUUUAGAGCUAAUACGCAAAGUCGGGGAUCAUAAAAAGGGACCGAAACAUCUUAGAGCAAAUACGCAAAGUCAGGGAACAUAAAAAGGGACUGAAAGAACUUAGAGCUAAUACGCAAAGUCGGGGAUCAUAAAAAGGGACCGAAAGAACUUAGACCUAAUACGCAAAGUCAGGGAUCAUAAAAACCGACCGAAAGAACUUAGAGCUAAUAUGCAAAGUCGGGGAUCAUAAAAAGGGACCGAAAUAACUUAGAGCUAAUACGCAAAGUCGGGGAUCAUAAAAAGGGACCGAAAGAACUUAGAGCUAAUAUGCAAAGUCGGGGAUCAUAAAAACGGACCGAAAGAACUUAGUGCUAAUACGCAAAGUCAGGGAUCAUAAAAACCGACCGAAAGAACUUAGAGCUAAUACGCAAAGUCGGGGAUCAUAAAAACCGACUAAAAGAACUUAGAGGUAAUACGGAAAGUCGGGGAUCAUAAAAACGGACCGAAAGAACUUAGAGCUAAUACGCAAAUUCGGGGGAUCAUAAAAACGGACCGAAAGAACUAAGAGCUAAUACGCAAAGUCGGGGAUCAUAAAAACGGACCAAAAGAACUUAGAGCUAAUACGCAAAGUCGGGGAUCAUAAAAACCGACCGAAAGAACUUAGAGCUAAUACGCAAAGUCGGGGAUCAUAAAAAUGACCGAAAGAACUUAGAGCUAAUACGUAAAGU